rnacentral:tRNA from 8 species
GCGCCCGUAGCUCAGCUGGAUAGAGUGUUGGAUUCCGAUUCCAAAGGUCACAGGUUCGAAUCCUGUCGGGCGCGCCA